UCGGCGUAUGUUAAGCCAAGGUAGGCUAACGUUCACUGACUAUGGUAUGAUAGCGUAACACAGCACAGCAGCCUGUACGACGCUGAUGGCCACUCCGGCAACGGGUAUGCAACAGGCUAGCUCUCCUCUAACGUUUGGAAGCUUUCUCCCAACUCAAUUUCAACCUAUUCAUAAAGGGGAGAAACUUGAAGAAGAUGAAAAUAUUGAAUGCAAUAAUGUUCGUGAGGAAAACUCUUAAGGGUAAGAAUCAGUGAUUGCAAUGGCGAAACUUUCCCAACGACUUCAGUUUUCUGAUAUGAGUGCUUCUACAAGCUUAAAUCCAGAAGGCCCAGCUGCACAGACACCGCAAGUCCCUCCCUUUCCUACAGACAAGGCAUUAGGUAAAAGGAAUAUAUUAUCGUACAUUUCGCCCAGCCAGCGGGGUGGGAAGAAAGUGGUUAAGCUGACUACUGAGGAUAUUCAAACAGCUGAUGAACAGUGGUCGAAAACUCUUAUUGGGUAUGUUCUUGGAGACGCUCCAUACGGGAAAUCUAUGAAUAAUUUUGUAACCAGUAUUUGGAAUUUUGUGAAGAAACCCUAAAUUCUUUAUCAUGUUGAUGGUUAUUAUGUAUUUCAAUUUGCUUUAAUUAAAGAUAGAAAAGAGAUAAUGCCAGCAGGACCUUACACUUACCGCAAUAAGCAUUUCAUCCUGAAGCCUUGGGUAGUGAAUUUUGUAUUUGAUACUGAAUGCAUCACAACGGUUCCUAUAUGGGUAAAUUUACCUGGGUUGCCUGUGGGAUGUUGGACUGUUGAAGCACUAAGCAAAAUGGCUAGUGCAAUUGGUGAACCCCUCUAUACUGAUUGGUACACUGCGUAUUUAAAUAGGAUAUCUUAUGCUAGAGUAUUAGUAGAGGUUGAUAUCUCUUUAAAUAGGAUAUCUUAUGCUAGAGUAUUAGUAGAGGUUGAUAUCUCUUUAAAUAGGAUAUCUUAUGCUAGAGUAUUAGUAGAGGUUGAUAUCUCUUAUCCCUUUCAGGACUCUAUUAUGAUUGACAUACCUUUUGGUACUAUUCGGAAAAAGGUUGAGUAUAAUUGGCGACUGAAAUUCUGCUCUGAUUGUAUCAGAUUUGGACAUACAAAUGUGGAAUACGGUUGAAGAAGAAGGAACCUGACCAGAAAAAUAAGCAAGAUCAAGAGGAGGGACAGUUUAAAGAACCCCCUAAAAGAAGAAGGAGGGGUAGAAAAAAAGAAGAGAGUUGUGCAAACAUGGAAAGCUCGACCAGAUGAUACAGCUGCCCAGGUGCAAACUGGGCUUGCUACUAAUAGAGAUUAUGAGGCAACUCUACUUGAUGCAGCUGCAAUGAAUGUGCAGAAGAGUAUUGUGCCUAAGAAGUAUCCAGAUAACAAAUUUGGGACAUUAUUUGGAAUUGAGAAGGAUGGAUCUAGCCCUUCAAGAUUCACCCUAGCACCAUCUCAUCAACCUCCAUGAAUAUUUGUACUUGGAAUGUAAGACGGAUUAACAAGACCUUUAAAUAGCAGGAUGUGCUACUUUUUCUGAGGAAUAAUAAAAUGGAUGCUUAGAAACUAGAGUUAAAGAAAAAAAUGCUAAUCUUGUUCUGCGGAAGUUCAAUAAAGACUGCUAUCAUAUUUACAAUUACCCACAUGGUGAUAAUGGUAGUAUUUGGAUGUGCUGGAAAAAUCAUUUAAAUAUACAAUUUCUACAGGUGCAUGAGUGGUAUAUGCAUUGUAAGGUGCAGGAUUUAUACAUAGGGUUCUCAGCCAUAAUCACUGUUGUGUAUGCUAAAAUGAACUAGUUCAAAAAGAAGAUUUGUGGUCUGAACUACAAACCAUUGGUAGUAGUGUACAUGAUAUUUGGUUAUUGUGUGGAGACUUUAACAAUGUCUUAUCCAUUGAUGAUAGAACAGGCCAGCUUAUUACAGAAAAUGAGGUAAAAGAAUUUAAAGACUUGGUUGAUAACAUGCAACUAACCCCUUUGAGAUCAAAGGGUUGUUACUUUACUUGGAUAAACUAGAAACAAGGAUCCAACAGGGUAUAUAGCAGAAUUGACUAGGUACUUGGCAAUUUUGAUUGGAUACAAUAAUAUGGGCACAUUGAAGUGGAUUUCUUGACUCCAGGGAUCUCUGAUCAUUCCCCAACACUUGUUCAAUAUUUGCACAUAGUGAGUUUACAUCCUAAGCCUUUCAAGCUGUAUGCUUUAGUCAUGCAGCAUCACCAAUUUCAGAAUAGUGUGCAGCAGGUUUGGCAUUGGCCAAUAAGAGGUGGUCCUAUGACUGUCUUAUGGGAAAGGUUGAAGAAACUAAAACUGGAUGACAAAGAACUCAAUACUUAUAUGACUUCUUAUGCUCAAAAGAUAUUCCAAGAUAGGCAACAACUGGAAAUUCUACAUGCUCAGAUUACAUCCCAACUAAAUAAUCAAUCUUUGUUUGAUCAAGAAAAAACUAUAUUAUCAAAUAUUCAGAGAUGGAGUUUAGUGGAAGAGCAGGUGCUUAGAUAAAAAUCUAGAGCUUGUUGUAUUAAUAGUGGUGAUGCCAAUACAAAAUAUACUCAACUUAAAUCAGAUCUGCCUAGAAUACAACCUCAUCAAUUUAUACUGAUAAUAGAGUAAAACUUUCAGAUCCUCAGGAUGUAAAGAAUGAAUUUAUUACUCUUUUACUUCACUUAUGGGAGAUUGUGUUGUUGAAAUGCCUUAUCCACACUUAGAAAUAGUAAGGACAGGGCCAUGCCUUAAUAAAGAUCAAUAAAUUCAACUAGUGUAGAUGGUGAGUCCAAAGAAAAUAGACCAAGUUGUGAAAAGAAUGCCUAAAGAUAAGAAUCCAGGUACCCUAUUGAAUUCUUUCAACAAUACUAGACCAUUGUCAAAGAGAAGGUUUAUUUAGUUGUGCAACAGUUCUUCUCUACUGUUAAGAUAAAGAAAAUAUGGAAUUGCACAACCAUUACUUUGAUUCCUAAGGUUCCUUCACCAACUAAGGUGAAGAACUUUAUACCAAUUGCCUGCUAUUCCACUGUGUAUAAAAUUGUUGCAAAGAUACUUGUUAACAAGAUAAAGCAAGUGUUGAAUGGUCUUACUGGUUGCUCAUAGUAAGCUUUCAUUAAAAGUAGAGCUAUUACAGAAUCUUGCUCUGUUAUGAGCUUUACAAGGGACACACUAGAAAAAAUAUUUCUCCUAGAUGGUGUCCUUAAGGUGGAUCCUAGAAUAGCCUAUGACAUGCUUGAGUGUCCUUUCCUAAAAGAUAUGCUGAUUGAGUUGGGUUUCCCUCAUAAAUUUGUAAGUUGGCUCAUGGAAUGUGUAUCUAUAGUUUCUUACUCCUUGAUAAUGAAUGGUGGACUUACAAGCCAUUCCAGUCUAGGAUGGGAUUGAGGCAAGGGGACCCUAUGUCCCCUUACUUCUCUAUGAUAGCCAUGGAAUAUCUACAUAGAUAAAUGCAAUAGCUAAUAAAAUAGAAGCAAUUUCAUUUAAAUCCAAGAUGCAAGAGAUUUAAUUUGAUUCAUAUGUGUUUUGCAGAUAAUUUAUUGAUGUUUUGUGGGGUUAAAAUGGACUAUAACUUUGCUCCAACAGAGUUUCCAUCAGUUCUCAAAUGCUUCUAGGUUGAAGUAAUAUGUUGACAAAAGCUCUAUUUAUAUGGCAGGUGUUGGUAAUAACUUAAAAAUUGAGCUCUUACAAGCCUUGGGAACGUAAAAUCGUCUUUACCCUUCAAAUAUCUGGGUGUCUCUCU
rnacentral:lncRNA from 1 species